rnacentral:snRNA from 1 species
UCAAUGCAUUGAUUAGCACAAAAUUGGAACGAUACAUAAAAGAUUAGCAUCCACUGUGCGAGGAUGACACGCCCAAAUCAAGAAACUCAAUGCAUCGAU